ACACCAGUUAGGUCAGUCUAUACCUGACAAUGUCAGUUCACAUACUAUGCUACCAUCACCAGUUGAUGAUAUAUCCAAUACACUAGUUACUAAUAUAAGAGGUCAGCCCAAUGUAGCUAAACCCAUUAGUUCAGUACCUAAUGAUGUUCAAGGAUAUGCUGACAAUAUGAGACAACACUACA